rnacentral:ncRNA from 1 species
GUAAUUCCAGGAUGUAAUGAUCCGCAGCUUGUAAUUGGUCACUUUUAGGUUGCGGGGAGCAAGUAGUGAAACCGGCCUGACGUAAG